rnacentral:tRNA from 1 species
GCGCCCGUAGCUCAGCUGGAUAGAGCAACGGAUUUCUAAUCCGUAGGUCGUAGGUCCGAAUCCUACCGGGCGUA